UCCAACGACGGGUCUUUUAUAUUUUUAGUAAAGGAUAGGUAAGAAAGUACGGUGUAGUAUGAGGGCCGGAGUUUUAAAAGUUUCAUCCAAGAAUAUCUAUUGAUAUACUCAGUGCUGUGUAUUGGUAAAUUAAUUGAUGAGUACACGCACUUUUUAAUGAUAUUUUAUGAAAAAAAAAAUUUUUUUCUCGCUACACUCUAAAUAUGCAAACAAAUUAGACGUUUUUCACCGAGUGCAAAAUGUGUACUUUUAUUAUCAUUUUUUUUUUUUUACUUCAACCAUAUUCUUUUAGGUGUUUCUAAAUGCCACAUUAACUAUUCUUCAAAUAAUCAUCCAAUAAAUACAAAUUAUAUGACUUUAUAUUUCUA